GAUGAACGCUAGCUACAGGCUUAACACAUGCAAGUCGAGGGGCAUCAGGAAGAAAGCUUGCUUUCUUUGCUGGCGACCGGCGCACGGGUGAGUAACACGUAUCCAACCUGCCCUUUACUCGGGGAUAGCCUUUCGAAAGAAAGAUUAAUACCCGAUAGUAUAAUGAUUCCGCAUGGUUUCAUUAUUAAAGGAUUCCGGUAAAGGAUGGGGAUGCGUUCCAUUAGGUUGUUGGUGAGGUAACGGCUCACCAAGCCUUCGAUGGAUAGGGGUUCUGAGAGGAAGGUCCCCCACAUUGGAACUGAGACACGGUCCAAACUCCUACGGGAGGCAGCAGUGAGGAAUAUUGGUCAAUGGUCGGCAGACUGAACCAGCCAAGUCGCGUGAGGGAAGACGGCCCUACGGGUUGUAAACCUCUUUUAUAGGGGAAUAAAGUGGAGGACGUGUCCUUUUUGUAUGUACCCUAUGAAUAAGCAUCGGCUAACUCCGUG
rnacentral:rRNA from 1 species